rnacentral:rRNA from 1 species
UACGUAGGGAGCAAGCGUUGUCCGGCAUCAUUGGGCGUAAAGCGCGCGUAGGCGGCCUCGUAAGUCCGUUGUGAAAGUCAAAGGCUCAACCUUUGAAAGCCGAUGGAUACUGUGAGGCUAGAGUCCGGAAGAGGCGAGUGGAAUUCCUGGUGUAGCGGUGGAAUGCGCAGAUAUCAGGAGGAACACCAAUAGCGAAGGCAGCUCGCUGGGACGGUACUGACGCUAAGGCGCGAAAGCGUGGGGAGCGAACAGG